GAAUAUUGCACAAUGGGCGCAAGCCUGAUGCAGCAACGCCGCGUGAGGGGCGACGGCCUUCGGGUUGUAAACCUCUUUUAGUAGGGAAGAAGCGAAAGUGACGGUACCUGCAGAAAAAGCACCGGCUAACUACGUGCCAGCAGCCGCGGUAAUACGUAGGGUGCAAGCGUUAUCCGGAAUUAUUGGGCGUAAAGAGCUCGGAGGCGGUUUGUCGCGUCUGCUGUGAAAACUGGAGGCUCAACCUCCAGCCUGCAGUGGGUACGGGCAGACUAGAGUGCGGUAGGGGAGAUUGGAAUUCCUGGUGUAGCGGUGGAAUGCGCAGAUAUCAGGAGGAACACCGAUGGCGAAGGCAGAUCUCUGGGCCGUAACUGACGCUGAGGAGCGAAAGCAUGGGGAGCGAACAG
rnacentral:rRNA from 1 species